GAUGAACGCUGGCGGCGUGCCUAAUACAUGCAGGUCGAGCGAACAGACGAGGAGCUUGCUCCUCUGACGUUAGCGGCGGACGGGUGAGUAACACGUGGAUAACCUACCUAUAAGACGGGGAUAACUUCAGGAAACCGGAGCUAAUACCGGAUAAUAUAUUGAACCGCAUGGUUCAAUAGUGAAAGACGGUUUUGCUGUCACUUAUAGAUGGAUCCGCGCCGCAUUAGCUAGUUGGUAAGGUAACGGCUUACCAAGGCAACGAUGCGUAGCCGACCUGAGAGGGUGAUCGGCCACACUGGAACUGAGACACGGUCCAGACUCCUACGGGAGGCAGCAGUAGGGAAUCUUCCGCAAUGGGCGAAAGCCUGACGGAGCAACGCCGCGUGAGUGAUGAAGGUCUUCGGAUCGUAAAACUCUGUUAUUGGGGAAGAACAAAUGUGUAAGUAACUAUGCACGUCUUGACGGUACCUAAUCAGAAAGCCCCGGCUAACUACGUG
rnacentral:rRNA from 1 species